rnacentral:rRNA from 1 species
AGUGAACGCUGGCGGCGUGCUUUACACAUGCAAUUCGAACGAGAACGGAAUAUAGCUUGCUAUAUUUGUCAGCUAAGUGGCGCACGGGUGAGUAAUGUAUAGAUAACCUGCCCUUAAGAAAGGAAUAACAGUUGGAAACGAAUGCUAAUGCCCUAUAUGCCUUUAAUACAUAAUUAUGCAAGGGAAACGCUUUAGUGCUUAAGGAUGGGUCUGUAUGGUAUCAGCUUGUUGGUGAGGUAAUGGCUCACCAAGGCUAUGACGCCUAACUGGUUUGAGAGAAUGAUCAGUCACACUGGAACUGAGACACGGUCCAGACUCCUACGGGAGGCAGCAGUGGGGAAUAUUGCACAAUGGACGAAAGUCUGAUGCAGCAACGCCGCGUGGAGGAUGACACAUUUCUGUGCGUAAACUCCUUUUAUAUAGGAAGAUAAUGACGGCACUAUAUGAAUAAGCACCGGCUAACUCCGUGCCAGCCGCCGCCGUAA